UGAGGAAUAUUGGGCAAUGGGCGCAAGCCUGACCCAGCCAUGCCGCGUGCAGGAUGAAGGUCCUAUGGAUCGUAAACUGCUUUUGUAUGGGAAGAACCUCCCGCAUUCGUGCGGGAUUGACGGUACUAUACGAAUAAGGACCGGCUAACUCCGUGCCAGCAGCCGCGGUAAUACGGAGGGUCCAAGCGUUAUCCGGAUUCACUGGGUUUAAAGGGUGCGUAGGUGGAACGAUAAGUCAAUGGUGAAAGCCUACAGCUUAACUGUAGAAUUGCCAUUGAUACUGUUGUUCUUGAGUAUAGUCGGGGGAAGUGGAAUGCGUAAUGUAGCGGUGAAAUGCAUAGAUAUUACGCAGAACACCGAUCGCGAAAGCAGCUUCCUAGGCUAUUACUGACACUGAGGCACGAAAGCGUGGGGAGCGAACA
rnacentral:rRNA from 1 species